AAAUUGAAGAGUUUGAUCAUGGCUCAGAUUGAACGCUGGCGGCAGGCCUAACACAUGCAAGUCGAACGGUAACAGGAAGCAGCUUGCUGCUUUGCUGACGAGUGGCGGACGGGUGAGUAAUGUCUGGGAAACUGCCUGAUGGAGGGGGAUAACUACUGGAAACGGUGGCUAAUACCGCAUAACGUCGCAAGACCAAAGAGGGGGACCUUCGGGCCUCUUGCCAUCAGAUGUGCCCAGAUGGGAUUAGCUUGUUGGUGAGGUAACGGCUCACCAAGGCGACGAUCCCUAGCUGGUCUGAGAGGAUGACCAGCCACACUGGAACUGAGACACGGUCCAGACUCCUACGGGAGGCAGCAGUGGGGAAUAUUGCACAAUGGGCGCAAGCCUGAUGCAGCCAUGCCGCGUGUAUGAAGAAGGCCUUCGGGUUGUAAAGUACUUUCAG
rnacentral:rRNA from 1 species